AGAUUAUGGCUCAGGAUGAACGCUGGCGGCGUGCCUAACACAUGCAAGUCGAACGAAGCACCUACCGUGAUCCUUCGGGUGAACGGUCUGUGACUGAGUGGCGGACGGGUGAGUAACGCGUGGGUAACCUGCCCUGUACAGGGGGAUAACAGCCAGAAAUGGCUGCUAAUACCGCAUAAGCGCAGGCCGUGGCAUCAUGGCUUGCGGAAAACUCCGGUGGUACAGGAUGGGCCCGCGUCUGAUUAGCUUGUUGGCGGGUAAAGGCCCACCAAGGCGACGAUCAGCAGCCGGUCUGAGAGGAUGAACGGCCACAUUGGAACUGAGACACGGUCCAAACUCCUACGGGAGGCAGCAGUGGGGGAUAUUGCACAAUGGGGGGAACCCUGAUGCAGCAACGCCCGCGUGAGUGAAGAAGUAUUUCGGUAUGUAAAGCUCUAUCAGCAGGGAAGAUGAUGACGGUACCUGACUAAGAAGCUCCGGCUAAAUACGUGCCAGCCGCAGC
rnacentral:rRNA from 1 species